UCUGGCCUCAAAUCAAGUAGGACUACCCGCUGAACUUAAGCAUAUCAAUAAGGCGGAGGACAAAUU
rnacentral:rRNA from 1 species